AUUGAACGCUGGCGGCAGGCCUAACACAUGCAAGUCGAACGAGUGGCGGACGGGUGAGUAAUAUAUGGGAAACUGCCUGAUGGAGGGGGAUAACUACUCGAAACAGUAGCUAAUACCGCAUACCAUUAGAGUGGCCUAUAGGGGAUUAGCUUGUUGGUGGGGUAAAGGCUCACCAAGGCGACGAUCCCUAGCUGGUCUGUGAGGAAGACCAGCCACACUGGAACUGAGACACGGUCCAGACUCCUACGGGAGGCAGCAGUGGGGAAUAUUGCACAAUGGGCGCAAGCCUGAUGCAGCCAUGCCGCGUGUAUGAAGAAGGCCUUCGGGUUGUAAAGUACUUUCAGCCGGGAGGCGUUACCGGCAGAAGAAGCACCGGCUAACUCCGUGCCAGCCGCCGCGGUAAUUC
rnacentral:rRNA from 1 species